rnacentral:antisense_RNA from 1 species
AUAUUCACAACGCUCUUUUUCUAAAGUUAAGCAAAUCAAUCCACGACCAUGCAUUGCCAUAAAAUUAAUUGCUUCUGGAGUAAUUAGCUCUGCUGCUAUAAUUA